CUACGGGUCGCAGCAGUGGGGAAUAUUGCACAAUGGGCGCAAGCCUGAUGCAGCCAUGCCGCGUGUAUGAAGAAGGCCUUCGGGUUGUAAAGUACUUUCAGCGGGGAGGAAGGGAGUAAAGUUAAUACCUUUGCUCAUUGACGUUACCCGCAGAAGAAGCACCGGCUAACUCCGUGCCAGCAGCCGCGGUAAUACGGAGGGUGCAAGCGUUAAUCGGAAUUACUGGGCGUAAAGCGCACGCAGGCGGUUUGUUAAGUCAGAUGUGAAAUCCCCGGGCUCAACCUGGGAACUGCAUCUGAUACUGGCAAGCUCGAGUCUCGUAGAGGGGGGUAGAAUUCCAGGUGUAGCGGUGAAAUGCGUAGAGAUCUGGAGGAAUACCGGUGGCGAAGGCGGCCCCCUGGACGAAGACUGACGCUCAGGUGCGAAAGCGUGGGGAGCAGACAGGAUUAGAUACCCUCGUAGUC
rnacentral:rRNA from 1 species